GGAUGUGAGGACAAUCUGGCUGCAACAUCUGUCACCCCAUUGAUCGCCAGGGUUGAUUUGGCUGAUCUAGCUGGCUAGACUGGUGUCCCCUUCCUCCCUCACCACUCCAUGUGCGUCCCUCCUGAAGCUACAAGUUUGGUCGAAGAGGACAACCUUCCCCACAAGAGGAGGACCGAUCUUCUGUCAAGGGUAUAUGAGUAGCUGCGCUCCUAUGCUAGAACCUCCAAACAAGCUCUCAAGAGCAACACCUUAUAUUUAUAUAGUUCAUAUUAAAAUGUCAUUCUUCACACAUUUCAUCUGAGUCUCAAAAACUCUUGAU
rnacentral:snRNA from 1 species